rnacentral:RNase_P_RNA from 1 species
GAAGUUCGCCAGGCAGUCGCUGUGCGCGCUUGCGUGCAUGGAGGAAAGUCCGGGCUCCGCAGGGCAGGAUGCCGGCUAACGGCCGGGCGCUAUAAGUCGAAAGACCCAAGGCGACGGAAAGUGCAACAGAGAGCAGACCGCCGAUGGCCCGCAAGGGAUCAGGUAAGGGUGAAACGGUGGGGUAAGAGCCCACCGCAGGACUGGUAACAGGACUGGCACGGCAAACCCCAUCCGGGGCAAGGCCAAAUAGGGGGGCGUCGAUGUGGCCCGCAGAGCCCCCGGGUAGGCUGCUAGAGCGUCACGGUAACGUGCCGCCCAGAGGAAUGACUGCCCCGCCGGCGUGAGCCGGCGCGACAGAACCCGGCUUAUCGGCGGGCUUCCCAC